AAUAACCAGUAUCUUCUUUCGAUCCUUGGACUGCAGGAUGGUGGGGGCCAUGGAGGACGGAGGCUGCUCCCCUACAAAAACAGCAGGAAUCAGGUUUUGGAUAGCAGGAUUCUAAGAUUACUGAUACUGAUUGCUGAUUGGUUGGCGAGCAGAGCAGCUCAUUGUCUGUUCUCAUUCACUGAUAACCAUCUGGCCCUGCGGUGGACAAGAGGCCAGAGAGCGGCAUCAGCCAGAACCUUUAUCACAGGCACUGAUGGGUAAAAGUGAGCACAGAUGCAACGGUUCUCACCUGCUGAUAUGGAAUCAGCCCUGUCACAGAAAUCUGCCAGCUCAUUAUUCAGGAUGAUGCCUGUUCUAGGAGAGUACACAAAUGAUCCGAAACUGCAUACAGAGACAAGAAACACAAACAAACAAAUAAACAUAUUGUCAAGAAUAACACUUGAAACCUGAAAAUAUGACUGAUGAAGAACACUGGGCCUCAUUCUCUAAUAUCUUCCUAAGUUUGCUCUUAAAUGUGUUCUUGAGAAAGUUUCCUAAGAAAACGUCUAUGUUAGAUUAAUGAUGUGCAGAUCUCUCUCACAGCCUGAGACCAGUGUAAGGUUCUUGUUAAGUUAAGAAAACACAAGAACUGAAUGUUUUAAGGAAUAGCACUUGUUUUAAGAAUUAAAAAAUAAGAGAAUUCUUAAAGGGGCUCCCACGGAUUUUUCAAAAUUCUGCAUAAAUA